AGCAGAGGUGAUUUCCAGGCAUGUUUUCACUCUGCAGAUAUAAUAACAGUCAACAGACUCUUCUAUUGGCUCCAGUCAGACCAACAUUGAUGCUUCAUAUGUUUGAUUCUAUGCAAACUCAGUGAGCUUCCUUGUUACUCAGCUAUAAAAACUUCCCAUCAGGCUGUCAGUGGAGUUCACAGCACGUCAGUUUCAACAUCAACCAUGUUUUCUGUAGCUCUGCUGCUGCUGUUGGCAGCUGGAUGUGUGAAGUGUGAACAGUUGACACAGCCAGCCUCUGUGACUGUGCAGCCAGGUCAACGUCUGACCAUCACCUGUCAGGUCUCUUAUUCUGUCAGCAGCUACUACACAGCUUGGAUCAGACAGCCUGCAGGGAAAGAACUGGAGUGGAUUGGGAGUGCAGCUGUUGGAUACAGCACAUACAUGAAAGAUUCACUUAAGAACAAGUUCAGUAUCAACUCAGACUCCUCCAGCAACACAGUGACUCUAAAUGGACAGAAUGUGCAGUCUGAAGACACUGCUGUGUAUUACUGUGAGGAGGAGCCCUCAGACCACUAA